ensembl:lncRNA
GAAAAUCCAGAAAAUCACAUUGUAGAAUUUUUAAUGAAUUUAUUUGCAAAUUAUGGUGGAAAAUAAGUAUUUGGCCAAUAACAAAAGUUUAUCUCAAUACUUUGUUAUAUACCCUUUGUUGGCAAUGACAGAGGUCAAACGUUUUCUGUAAGUCUUCACAAGGUUUUCACACACUGUUGCUGGUAUUUUGGCCCAUUCCUCCAUGCAGAUCUCCUCUAGAGCAGUGAUGUUUUGGGGCUGUUGCUGGGCAACACGGACUUUCAACUCCCUCCAAAGAUUUUCUAUGGGGUUGAGAUCUGGAGACUGGCUAGGCCACUCCAGGACCUUGAAAUGCUUCUUACGAAGCCACUCCUUCGUUGCCCGGGCGGUGUAUUUGGGAUCAUUGUCAGGCUGAAAGACCCAGCCACGUUUCAUCUUCAAUGCCCCACGGGGUGAGAUCUUGCGUGGAGCCCCAGAUGGAGGGAGAUUAUCAGUGGUCUUGUAUGUCUUCCAUUUCCUAAUAAUUGCUCCCACAGUUGAUUUCUUCUAACCAAGCUGCUUACCUAUUGCAGAUUCCUUCUUCCCAGUCUGGUGCAGGUCUACAAUUUUGUUUCUGGUGUCCUUUGACAGCUCUUUGGUCUUGGCCAUAGUGGAGUUUGGAGUGUGACUGUUUGAGGUUGUGGACAGGUGUCUUUUAUACUGAUAACAAGUUCAAACAGGUGCCAUUAAUACAGGUAACGAGUGGAGGACAGAGGAGCCUCUAAAAGAAGAAUUUACAGGUCUGUGAGAGCCAGAAAUCUUGCUUGUUUGUAGGUGACCAAAUACUUAUUUUCCACCAUAAUUUGCAAAUAAAUUCAUUAAAAAUCCUACAAUGUGAUUUUCUGGAUUUUUUUCUCAUUUUGUCUGUCAUAGUUGAAGUGUACCUAUGAUGAAAAUUACAGGCCUCUCAUCUUUUUAAGUGGGAGAACUUGCACAAUUGGUGGCUGACUAAAUACUUUUUUGCCCCACUGUAAGUAGUUUUUUGGGGUAUCUGUACUUUACUAUUUAUAUUUUGCCUACUUUUACUUGACUACAUUCCUGAAGAAAAUGAUGUACUUUUUACUCCAUACAUUUUCCCUGACACCCAAAUAAUUUGUUAUGCUUAGUAGGACAGGAAAAGGGUCAAAUGAAUGCACUAAUCAAGAGAACAUCCCUGGUCAUCACUACUGCCUCUGAUCUGGAGGAGUCACGAAACACAAAUGCUUUGUUUGUAAGUCAUGUGAGUGUUGUAGUGUGCCCUUGGCUAUCCAUAAAUUAAAAAGAUUUGCUUAAUGUAAGGAAUUUGAAAUGAUUUAUACUUUUACGUUUAACUAAGUAUAUUUUAGCAAUUACAUUUACUUUUGAUACUUAAGUAUAUUUAAAACCAAAUACUUUUAGACUUACUCAAGUAGUAUUUUACUGGGUGACUUUCAUUUUUACUUGAGUCAUUUUCUGUUAAGGUAUCUUUACUUUUACUCAAGUAUGCUCAUAUCUCACCCUCCACUCCCCACUCCCUCCCACUGGCAUAUGGUUUUCUUCCACUGUUUGGUUCUCUUCUUUGUGUUGUAUCCUGACUAUACCGUCACUGUGCUGUGUAAUGUUUCCCUCUGCUGGACAACACACACACCAAAACGCUCAUAAGAAAACAUACAUUUAAUAUUGACAAACUAAAACAACCAAAAUACACACACUUUUGGAUGUACAUACACAUACUCACCCAACGAAACAAACACACACACUCACUUACCUCUCCUAAUCUCUAGGCUAUACCUCCCCUCUUUUCCACUUUCUUACACUUAAACCUAUUUGUAUGGUUUUGUAAAUAGUUAUUUUUUGUAAUGAGAAUGUGAUUUUUACACAGACACCCCACUGCUCUCCUUACAUUAAGUUGUUAUGGAGAAAUGGGAACAUUAAUCGUAUCAACUGUAUUACUAAAGACAAGAGUGUAUGUAAAGGUCCUGGUCCACUCUAAAUCAGGCCUGGAUUGGCCCUCUCCUCGUCCCAAACUGGCAGCCAUUCUGCAUCAAACCAGGUGCCCUUCUGGACCAAGGUUGGAGUCAACCAAAGAUGACUCGUGGUUUUAUGCUAACAAUAGAAUCCCCUCAUGGUUUAGUUUCUCUUGUAAUAGUUCACCUGCCAGCCCAUAUUGGGCCAGUAACCAAAAUGUUGCUGGAUCGAAUCCCCGAGCUGACAAAGUAAAAAUCUGUGGUUCUGCCGCUGAGCAAGGCAGUUAACCCACUCUUCCCCGGGCAACGAUGACAUCGAUUAAGGCAACCCCCCCCGUGCCUCUCUGAUUCAGAGGGGUUGGGUUGAAUGCAUUCAGUUGUACAGCUGACUAGGGGUCCCCCUGUGAAUGCAUUCAGCAGUACAGCUGACUAGGGGUCCCCCUGUGAAUGCAUUCAGCAGUACAGCUGACUAAGUAUCCCCCUGUGAAUGCAUUCAGCAGUACAGCUGACUAGGUAUCCCCCUGUGAAUGCAUUCAGCAGUACAGCUGACUAAGUAUCCCCCUGUGAAUACAUUCAGCAGUACAGCUGACUAAGUAUCCCCCUGUGAAUACAUUCAGCAGUACAGCUGACUAGGUAUCCUCCUUUCCCUAUACACCAAAGUCAGUGAAUUAGGACAAAGUGCACUGUAUACUACUAUCACAAUCUUGAGGGGUCUGUUGCUUUUACAUUUUAAGUCAUUUAGCAGACGCUUUUAUCCAGAGCGACUUACAGAAGCAAUUGUGGUUAAGUGCCUUGGUCUAGGGCACCUUGUCAUCUCGGGGAUUCGAACCAGUGACCUUUCAGUUACUGGCCCAGCGCUCUUAACUGCUAGGCCAAAACUGACAGCAGCUACAAAAUACUACACAGAUGGCUUGACUAUGUUUGGGUCAGAAUGUGUGUUCCUUGGUGCACAUACAAAUACAUCUGCAGUUUGAUUUAGUUCUAUUUUAAAAUAAUAAGACGAUAAAUAAUGCAGUAACAAAAGAAAAGUGUUCUGAGUUUUAACACUUCAUUUCAUCUUGUUACAACGUACCCUCUGUUUUGUAAAGAUUUGUCUGAUGAGAACAAUAAAUGGAUAUUGCAAUAAAAAGGAUGUUGAGUGUUCGCUCUUGCCUUUUAUGAGGGCAGGACACAUUCUGUUUUACUGUCAUUGAUUUUAUCCUUUGACCAAUCACAAUGCUGAUUGUUGCUCAAACGUGGCCCAGGGUGUGGAUCAUAGCCAACAGGAAUGUCUUAUACUUUUUAAUCACUGUUCUCAUUUUAUUUUCUCUAUUGGACAUAAUAUGCACUUCUGCCUCAGCAACAAUCUCUAAAGGUUUGAGAAGAACAUAAUAGUAGGGUUACUCCCACCUGCUGGUGAGAGAUACGCAUUACAUGUAAAUCAUUUAUAUUAUUAGUCAAUGCAGAGCUGCAAAGUCUGAGUUGAUAACUCUCUAACCUCUGUGAAUAUACAAGUUGUUUUGGAAGAUUAAAUAUUCACUUAC